rnacentral:rRNA from 1 species
CCUACGGGAGGCAGCAGUGAGGAAUAUUGGUCAAUGGGCUUACGCCUGAACCAGCCAAGUCGCGUGAGGGAAGACUGCCCUAUGGGUUGUAAACCUCUUUUGUCAGGGAGCAACGCCGGCUACGUGUAGCCGGACUGAGAGUACCUGAAGAAAAAGCAUCGGCUAACUCCGUGCCAGCAGCCGCGGUAAUACGGAGGAUGCGAGCGUUAUCCGGAUUUAUUGGGUUUAAAGGGUGCGUAGGCGGAAGGCCAAGCCAGCGGGAAAAUCGCGGGCUUAAACCUCGCUCCGCCGUUGAUACUGGCGUUCUUGAGUGGGCGAGAAGUAUGCGGAAUGCGUGGUGUAGCGGUGAAAUGCAUAGAUAUCACGCAGAACUCCGAUUGCGAAGGCAGCAUACCGGCGCCCAACUGACGCUGAAGCACGAAAGCGUGGGUAUCGAACAGGAUUAGAUACCCUAGUAGUC